CUCAAGGCCAAUCUAUAAAACACAGAACAUCCACUCCGGUCCAAUAGAGGGAGCUCCGGCACCUGGGAAAGCACAACGGGGAUAUUUAAACUGCUGUGGUAAAACAAUGACUUUAAACGCGAGUCUACAGAUAUUUUUCAGAUGUAUACAGUUCGAUAAUAAACCAACUGAAAAAACGAAAUGCUGUUAGAGCUUCAAUUACAUUUUUUUUCGUGUAAAAGAUAAGUGUUUAUAAA